UGGCUCAGGAUGAACGCUAGCGGCAGGCUUAACACAUGCAAGUCGAGGGGCAUCGGGAGUAGCAAUACUUGCCGGCGACCGGCGCAAGGGUGCGUAACGCGUGAGCAGCAUGCCCGUAUCAGGGGGAUAAUCCAUGGAAACGUGGUCUAAUACCCCAUAGUAAUUAUGUAAGGCAUCUUAUAUAAUUUAAAGCUUUGGUGGAUACGGAUUGGCUCGCGUGACAUUAGCUGGAUGGUAAGGUAACGGCUUACCAUGGCUACGAUGUCUAGGGGUUCUGAGAGGAAGGUCCCCCCACACUGGAACUGAGACACGGUCCAGACUCCUACGGGAGGCAGCAGUGAGGAAUAUUGGACAAUGGAUGGAAAUCUGAUCCAGCCAUGCCGCGUGCAGGAAAGACGGCCCUAUGGGUUGUAAACUGCUUUUGUAUGGGAGCAAUAAGGGCUACGUGUAGUCCGAUGAGAGUACCAUACGAAUAAGCACCGGCUAACUCCGUGCCAGCCGCUGC
rnacentral:rRNA from 1 species